rnacentral:rRNA from 2 species
AAACUUUCAACAACGGAUCUCUUGGCUCUGGCAUCGAUGAAGAACGCAGCGAAAUGCGAUACGUAAUGCGAAUUGCAGAAUUCAGCGAGUCAUUGAAUCUUUGAACGCACAUUGCGCCCGCCAGCAUUCUGGCGGGCAUGCCUGUCCGAGCGUCAUU